rnacentral:rRNA from 1 species
UACAUGGAGAGCUUUCUGUGAAGCCGGGCUGUAAGGCAUCCGGUGGAGAGAUCAGAAGCGAGAAUGUUGACAUGAGUAGCGACAAACAGGGUGAGAAACACUGUCGCCGAAAGUCCAAGGGUUCCUGCUUAAAGCUAAUCUGAGCAGGGUAAGCCGGCCCCUAAGGCGAGGCCGAAAGGCGUAGUCGAUGGGAACCAGGUUAAUAUUCCUGGGCCAGUGGGAUGUGACGGAUCGCAGAUGUAGUUUGCCCUUAUCGGAUUGGGUGGGCUGCUGAGCGGUUCCAGGAAAUAGCCCCACAUCAGACCGUACCCUAAACCGACACAGGUGGACUGGUAGAGUAUACCAAGGCGCUUGAGAGAACCACGUUAAAGGAACUCGGCAAAAUGCCUCCGUAAGUUCGCGAGAAGGAGGCCCCAUAUGUACGCAAGUAUGUGUGGGGGGCACAAACUAGGGGGUGGCGACUGUUUACUUAAAACACAGGGCUGUGCGAAGCCGUAAGGCGACGUAUACAGUCUGACGCCUGCCCGGUGCUGGAAGAUUAAGAGGAGGGGUGCAAGCUCUGAAUUGAAGUCCCAGUAAACGGCGGCCGUAACUAUAACGGUCCUAAGGUAGCGAAAUUCCUUGUCGGGUAAGUUCCGACCUGCACGAAUGGCGUAACGAUCUCCCCGCUGUCUCUAACGUGGACUCAGCGAAAUUGAACUGUGUGUCAAGAUGCACACUACCCGCGGUUAGACGGAAAGACCCCAUGAACCUUUACUCCAGCUUUGCACUGGUAUCAGGAUUGUGAUGUGCAGGAUAGGUGGUAGGCAUUGAAGCGGGGACGCCAGUCUUCGUGGAGCCUCCCUUGAGAUACCACCCUUCGCCAUCUUGAUAUCUAACCGCGGCCCGUUAUCCGGGUCCGGGACCCUGCAUGGUGGGGAGUUUGACUGGGGCGGUCGCCUCCCAAACAGUAACGGAGGCGCGCGAUGGUUGGCUCAGACCGGUCGGAAAUCGGUCGUUGAGUGCAAUGGCAGAAGCCAGCCUGACUGCAAGACUGACAAGUCGAGCAGAGACGAAAGUCGGUCAUAGUGAUCCGGUGGUCCCAAGUGGGAGGGCCAUCGCUCAACGGAUAAAAGGUACUCUGGGGAUAACAGGCUGAUGAUGCCCAAGAGUCCAUAUCGACGGCAUCGUUUGGCACCUCGAUGUCGGCUCAUCUCAUCCUGGGGCUGGAGCAGGUCCCAAGGGUAUGGCUGUUCGCCAUUUAAAGAGGUACGUGAGCUGGGUUUAGAACGUCGUGAGACAGUUCGGUCCCUAUCUGCCGUGGGUGCAGGAGACUUGAGAAGAGUUGACCCUAGUACGAGAGGACCGGGUUGAACGAACCACUGGUGGACCAGUUAUCGUGCCAACGGUAGUGCUGGGUAGCUAUGUUCGGACAGGAUAACCGCUGAAGGCAUCUAAGCGGGAAGCCCCCUUCAAAACAAGGUCUCCCUUGAGGGCCGUGGAAGACGACCACGUCGAUAGGCCAGAGGUGUAAGUGCAGCAAUGCAUUCAGCUGACUGGUACUAAUUGCCUGA